GACGAACGCUGGCGGCGUGCUUAACACAUGCAAGUCGAACGGAAAGGCCCUGCUUGCAGGGUACUCGAGUGGCGAACGGGUGAGUAACACGUGGGUGAUCUGCCCUGCACUUCGGGAUAAGCCUGGGAAACUGGGUCUAAUACCGGAUAGGAGCCAUUUUUAGUGUGAUGGUUGGAAAGUUUUUUCGGUGUAGGAUGAGCUCGCGGCCUAUCAGCUUGUUGGUGGGGUAAUGGCCUACCAAGGCGGCGACGGGUAGCCGGCCUGAGAGGGUGGACGGCCACAUUGGGACUGAGAUACGGCACAGACUCCUACGGGAGGCAGAAGUGGGGAAUAUUGCACAAUGGGCGCAAGCCUGAUGCAGCGACGCCGCGUGGGGGAUGACGGCCUUCGGGUUGUAAACUCCUUUCGCUAGGGACGAAGCUUUUUGUGACGGUACCUAGAGAAGAAGCACCGGCUAACUACGUG
rnacentral:rRNA from 1 species